UACGUAGGGUGCAAGCGUUGUCCGGAAUUAUUGGGCGUAAAGAGCUCGUAGGCGGCUUGUCGCGUCUGCUGUGAAAACUCGGGGCUUAACUCCGGGCCUGCAGUGGGUACGGGCAGACUAGAGUGCGGUAGGGGAGACUGGAAUUCCUGGUGUAGCGGUGAAAUGCGCAGAUAUCAGGAGGAACACCGGUGGCGAAGGCGGGUCUCUGGGCCGGAACUGACGCUGAGGAGCGAAAGCGUGGGGAGCGAACAGG
rnacentral:rRNA from 1 species